ensembl:lncRNA
UGUAAAAUAAAGACAAAAAAAAAUGCUCUUUCUCGUGCCAAAAGCUUGAAAUGGUUUCAAUUCCUGAACUGGAAGCUGACCCAGUGAAUUGAUAAUUCUUAUUUGGAGACUUCUACCUCAUGAUUUAUUUCACACAUGGACCAAAGCAGUUUAUUAACUACUGCCUUGCUCCACUCCAAAGACACUGUGGCCAAAGAUACCUUCCCUGCUAGACAUGGUGGGGUAUGCCUGUAAUCCAGCACUCUGGAGGCUGUGCCAGGAGAAUCACCAAAAUGAGAAGAGAAUGUCUCCGCGUUCAAUACAGGUAAGUACGACUUUUUUGUUUCAGUAUGUGGUUGGUUGAAUCCUUGGGUAUGGAACCCAUGAAUAUGAAGGGCCAACUGUAUUACAGUCCAUUCUCAAAAUUUCAGUGAGUCCCCAGUGUUACAGUGAUUAAAGUGAAGACCCUUAGUAUGGUCCAGUUUCUAUUUCUCAUUCCUCUCUAUCUCUUAGCAGGCACCUUCUCAAGCUCUAUAUUAACCUAACUGGUUCUGACAUCCUGAGCUAACUACAUUAUGAGGAAAGGCUUGGGUCCUAAAAUAAAUAGGUGUGUAAGCAUCUGAGUUCUGG